rnacentral:snRNA from 1 species
GUGCUCGCUUCGGCAGCAUAUAUACUAAAAUUGGAAUGAUACAGAGAAGAUUAGCAUGGCCCCUGCACAAGGAUGACACGCAAAUUCGUGGAAGAGAGCACAAGGGG